AGAGAGAGAGAGAGAGGAGGGCAAGAUUCCGCGAUGUGCGUGACGGGGAAGACGUACGAGCAAGAAAUGGAUGGGAAAAGUACGUUCGAAUCUCAGCCCGCUCUGCCCCGUAAAUAGCGUUUUGUACCCCCGUCACGUGAAAUCGAUAUCCCUUAAGAGCCGGUCCGUGAGGUCGUUCGUCAGAACGGUGCACCCUGUUUCACCCGCGCUCCCGGAAGAGGAGGGGAACGCGCGCCGGUCCGCGGGGAGGCUCUGCUGCGGGUGGUGGACAAAACGCGGACGGGGUGGCUGAAUAAAAGAAGAUGCACAGGAAGGGGCUAACGUUUCUCACCGACAUGGGACUGCUAAUGUUCUUAGCAGUAACAGCCUCUCUGCUGGGUUACUGCCAAACGGACGAAAAAGUGUCGUUUUACGGGGCGAGCUACAUCCAUCUUCCGGUUCAAGAGGCCAAGGGUGCUACUGACAUCAGUUUCCGGUUCCGAACUCAUCUCGCCGACGCCAUGCUGCUAUUGGCCGCCGGCAAGACGGAUUACUGCCUGAUCAAACUCGAAACCGGCAGAUUGAAGGUUCACAUUAAUCUGGGUGCGGGCGAGAACGAGAUGGCGAGCGCCCGCGGAUUGACACUGAACGACCUCAGUUGGCACGAGGUCAAUUUGACGAGACGCGAGGCCAACGUCACCCUGCAGAUCGACGUGAUACACAUAGAGAGAUCCCACCUACCGGGCCGCUACUUCGAGCUAAACAUACAGUACGGGGUCUUCAUCGGCGGACAAGGCGACUUCAACGAGCUAUUUCUAGGACACACGGAUUAUCUGAGGGGAUGCAUGGCCGACAUAAUCUACAACGGCGCCGGAGUUAUAGAAUACGCCAGGUCGAGGAAGGGCCAGUCGGAGGCAACAGCCGUAACGUGGGGCUGCUCGCCGGAAUUCGACGCCACGAGGAGCACGGAAGUCAGCUUCGUCGAGGACGGAGCAUUCGUCGCCAUUCCACGACCCAUCCCGCGUUCCGGCUCGAGAUGGGAAUUCGAGCUGAAGACCGGCUCCGACGGCGGCCUGUUGCUCUACAACACCGGCCAAUCGUCCUACGCCGAUUAUCUCGGCAUCGAAUUGUUUGAAGGCAAGAUUCGGCUGCUGAUGAACAAGGGGAACGGCCCGUCCGAGCUGAUACACGGCACCGUGGUGGCCGACGGCAAAUGGCACAGCGUCGUCGUGGACUUCAACCCGAGCGGUAUCGGCAUCGCCGUCGACCGUCACGAAAAAACGAUGGCUUUGCCGUCCGGUGGCAAUCGUUUCCUCGACCUGGCCGACACGCUGUACAUCGGCGGCACGGAGCUGAACAAACGCGCCCGUGCGCUCGGCAAGGGUCUCCGGUCGGGCGACGUGAGUUACAAGGGCUGCAUACGGAACAUGGUGCUCGACAACAAGGACCUCGGUCUACCGGACGUUAAGGUCAGCCAGGGUGUCGUCGUGGGCUGCGUAUGGGGCUUCCCGUGCGUCGAGGCCGACCCGUGCGUAACCGGCGCUACGUGCUCGCAGCUGGGCGUCAGCUCGUUCAAGUGCAACUGCGAGCAAUCCCUGUGCGUCAAGCCGAAUCACGCCGACGAUUACAAGAUCUACUCCAACGGCACUCUGCCCGUAAACCUGGAGAUUCUCUCGCUGAGUCCACUUUUGGUUUCCGAGGGGGAGCAUGUUCUGGUAACGAGCAAAAAUAUCGGGAUGGUGCUGGACAUCGCUAAAUACGGCGUGGGGGAGGAGGGUGUUAUAUUCACCUUGGUGACGCCGCCAACUUACGGCACAUUGGCGCUCGACCUGCUAACGACUCGGAGUGACCACUCCUUCACGUUACAGGAUAUCAAUCAAGACAAGAUACAGUAUAUGCACGACGGUAGCGAAACCACAGAGGACAGCAUGAUUCUGGAACUGACAUUGGUGGCCGGGACAGGCUACACGCUGCCAGGAUACCUCCAAGGACGCCUCAGUUUUCCUCUUCACGUUAAUGUCACUCCUGUCAAUGACCCUCCAUUGCUCGAGAUACCGACCGCGAAAGUGCUGCGUCUAGCUCAAGGCACGAGAAAAACACUGACCAAGGAGUUAAUAUGGGCCAUAGACGCCGACACUCCUUCGGAAAUGCUGAUCUACACGGUUUUACGCGCGGAUACCGACGCAGGACACAUCGAGAGAGUCACCACUCCGUUCCGACCUAUCGACAUGUUCACGCAGGCCGAACUGAUACAGGGUCUCAUCGCGUACGUGCAUCGUGGAAAUGCCAAGCCGAACGCGAUGCUGGGCCUGCAAGUGAGCGACGGCAUCGAGAGCAGUCAACCGGCGUACCUGCGCGUAUCGGCUUAUCCGUUGCAGAUCAAGCUGACGCACAACACCGGCCUCGUUGUGGUACAUCGUUCGUUCUCCUACCUGACGCCGGCGAAUCUCUCGUUCGCUACCAAUUCCGACGACAACACCAUCGAUAUCCGUUACGACAUCGUCUCGCUGCCGCAGCACGGUGUUUUGCAAAAGCUCAGGGACGUCACCGGCGUCUGGACGAACGUGGACCACUUCACCAGUCGGGACGUGGAGUCGCACAUCGUUCGCUACCUCCACAACGUCGGCAGUCCUAAUCAGGACGAAUUCAAGUUCCAGGCGAGCGUGCGCGAAGUGAAGACGCAACAGACCUACGACUUCCGUAUCACUUUCAUUGACCUCGAGCUGAGGGAAGGCAGAAGAGUGCCCGUUAAUCUCACCGGCACGUCGAACAUGACUAUCACGGGCAACCACUUGAGGUACCAGACGAAUCCAUUAGUUACGUCGCCGAGUAAAAUUGUUUUUACUCUCACCACGGGACCAAGAUACGGCAAUCUAUUUCUGUCCGAUCGCAAGCUCGGGACGGGCGACACCUUCACGCAGGAGGACGUCGAAGCCGGCAGGCUGAUCUACUAUCUGUUCCGACGGGCUUACUCCAAUAUUCUCGACGAAAUAACCUUUAAAGUCAAUGCACCCCAGUGCGUCGACAUACACGCCAACUUGAAGCUCCAAUAUCACGUCGGUAAGAACGUCGGCAAAUCGCUCGAGGGGCUGGAGAGCCUGAGGGUCGACGAGGGCUCGAAAGUGCCUCUGAGGAUCACGCAUAUGAAUCCGAAGGAAUACGGUAUAUCUUCCCUCGUGUAUAAUCUCACAAUAAAGCCGAAUCACGGCUGGCUCUCGAUCGCGAAUACCUCGCGAUCGCAGGAACAAAGAAAUGUCUCGUCCUUUACGUUCGAGAAUUUGUUGACGCAGACGGUAUACUACGUGCACGACGACUCCGAGACGAAAGAGGACUCCUUCGAGUUCGUGGCGGUGUCCCUGGAUGCCGUGGACUUUAUGUACGUCGGGCAAUUUCGCGUCGAGAUUAACAUGAAGAACGAUAAUCCGCCGGAACGUACGGUCGACCGGGUCUUCCACGUCGUGUCGAGGGGCGAGAAACUGAUUACCAGCAAGGAUCUCGCUUACAUGGACAAGGACAUCGGCACUAAAGCGAGCGAGCUCGUUUACACCAGGAGGGACGCCCGGAAGAGCGGAAUAUUCCGGAUUACCAAUCCCUCGGUGCAAAUACGCGAGUUCACGCAGCAGGACAUCAACGACGGCGCGAUACUUUUCCGGCAUUACGGUGACGAACGCGAGAAAAUCGAAUUCGGUAUCAGCGACGGUCACUUUUACAGAACCGGCGCUCUUGAGAUCCAAGCCAGCCCGCCCUACAUCAGAUUGCGCGAGAGCAACGGUUCGGUGGUCCAAUUCAACAAGUCCGUGGUGCUUCAUCCGAAGGAGUUGGAGAUAGAAACGAACGUGUACACCACCGAGAAAGACGUCAAGUACACCGUGUGGGAGAAACCAAAGCAUGGUAUACUGCUGAAGCACGGUAGAGAGUCCAACGGUUUCACGGAGGACGAUUUGCGGCACGGCACUGUCGCGUACAAGCAUCUCGGUGGAUCUCUCACGAAGGACGUCUUCAAGUUCAAAGUAUACGUGAAAGGUGCAGAGGCCGAAGGGGCGUUCGCGAUCAAGGUCUACCCGGAGAGCUACUGGGAGACGUUGAUCGUCCAAAAUAACAAGACAAUCUUCGUCGAGGAGGCUACGAGCGUGCUGCUGAGCCGAAAAAGCCUCGAGAUAAUGCAUCCGAAGAUAUCGCCGAGCGAGAUCGUUUACCACGUGCGAGAGUGGCCGGUGAACGGCUACUUGGACUUGCAGAUCCACGACGAGCACAGUGAGGAGACCAAGGAAGAGUACAGCGGCAACGCGGUGAAGCACUUCGAGCAGAGCCUCAUCAACGACGGUCGCGUCUUCUACGUUCAGUCGGUGAUGAAUCAAACGAACGAUCGCUUCGUCAUUGACGCGACCAAUGGCAUCACGUGGCUGCGCGGCCUGAGCGUGAACUUUGUCAUAGUGCCGGAGAAACUCUACGUCGAGGCGAAGAGCUUCGUCGUGGUGGAGGGAAAGAGCGUGAUACUGGACGAGUCGAACUUCUCGGUAGUUACGCCUUAUUACGCCGGCAAAGUGACGGAUUACAGGAUCGUGGAGAAGCCGAGGCACGGCACGAUCGUCGACUCCACGAAGAACGCCCAGGUGAAGAAAUUCUCGCAGAAGCAUCUGAAUGCCGCGGUCAUACUUUACAGGCACAACGGGGAUGAAUUCCCAAGGGAUGCCUUCAGGAUGGUCGUCACGGCUGGCGACAAGACCAGCGAGCCCUUUGACGUGCCGAUCACGGUUCAACCCGUCAACGACGAGAUCCCGGUGCUGGUGAACAGAACCAAGCUGAACGUCUGGCAAGGCGGGUCCGUCGUCGUGACAUCCGCGAAUCUGGCAGCCGUGGACAACGACACCGAGCCGUGGGAUAUCAUGUUCAACGUGACCGGAGCGAGGAACGGGUACAUCUCGUUAAUUAAUUCUCCCGAUACGGACAUCUAUAAUUUCACGCAAAGUCAAAUCAACGAAUCGCAGGUGGUGUUCACCCACACAAAUGGCUCCGACGGCGAGUUUAACUUCGUAUUGAGCGACGGCGUGCACACGACGGAGUCUUACACGAUCUUGGUCGCCACAAAGCCAGUUCGUCUGAACAUCGAGUACAAUAUGCCCCUUAACGUUUUCCCCCUUACCAGGAAAUUAAUAUCGGACAGGCUUUUAUUAACGACGUGUUCAGACGAAGCGAGAGAGAUUAGAUACACUGUGCGAAAUGGACCCCAUUUGGGCAAAGUUAUAAUGGAGACAAGUGAGGGCGUAUGGCUCGAGGUCGAGCGAUUUACUCAGAGAGAUAUAAACAAUAGCAAAGUGAUUUACGAGCACACCAAGCAGUUCAUGGACCUGACGGCCAACGACUCUUUUACGUUCGACGUGGAAGCACAUUUCGCUGGAACUUUAACAAAUCAGGUUUUCCAAAUAGAUAUAUCGGUUUCAAGCGGUGGCCUAGACAGAUAUAUCUUAGCGAAGAACGUGAGAGUCGUGGAGGGUGGAUCCGCGCAGGUCGUCAUGAACAUCAGCGACAUCGUGUCGUUCUUGCAAAUCAACGCUGGGAUCGAAUAUCCGGCGGUUCUCUCAAGAUUGGUUCAUCAGCCUAGCCACGGCCACGUGAUGCUUCUGCCGGAUUUGAACGUGACUACCUUCACGCAGCCGCAAAUCGAGGGUGGAAAGAUAGCUUACUACCACGACCACUCGGACACUCUAGAAGAUCGCAUACAAUUCUCCCUGUACUUGACACCCGGCCACGUGUUGCUCUGCAACACCAGCGUGCCCGUCAUCAUCGAGCCGGUCAACGACGAGCCUUUUAAGCUCGUCACGAACGCCCCGUACAUUACGGUCGUCCAGAAUCAAAAUCAGACCAUUACACAUGAGAAUCUCCUCACGACCGAUCCCGACACACCACCGGAGGAGAUCAUCUACGACGUGAUCUCGGGACCGACGUACGGCAGACUGCUGCUUCUAUCCUCCGACCAAAACACCUCGGAAGUGCGACAAGUGAACAAGUUCUCCCAGUACGACGUGGACUCCAAUCGAGUGGUGUACGAGCACAACGGGCCGCUGCAAGCCGCCUCCUUCUACUUCAGGGUCUGGGACGGUCAGUUCAAUCCAGCUUACACUGUCUUCAACGUCCACGUGCUGCCCAUACGUUUGAACGUGACGGUGCUCGGGCCGGUGAGCUUGCAGCAAGGCUCGAACGUGGCUCUCGUGUCUGAGAGCAACAUAAAACUCGACACGAACGCGCGGCAGGACCUGGUGACCUACGAAAUCACGACGCAUCCGAGGCACGGAGUGCUAUACGUGAGGGACAACGCCGCGGCGACCUUCAAGCAAACCGACCUGCUGUCGAAGAGCGUGAUGUUUAUGCAGACGGACAUGACGGUGUCGAACGACAGCCUGGAACUAUCGGCGCGCUUGAGCGGUUUCGAGCAGCAGCACAUAUGCGUGGACAUCAGAGUGAUGCCGCUCAUGAUCAUGAAUCCGAUGAUAGCAUUGGCGGGCGAGAAGAACCAAAUAACUCUCCGGUACCUGGACGCGACACCUUUGGCGAAGCUAACGACCAGCAAUCCUCUCUACAGCAUCGUGAGGAAACCAAAGUUCGGCAAGGUCAAAAGAAUCAUCAGGAGCUCCACGUCGUCCGGCGAGAAGAGAGGCACACGUGAGCGGGAGGUGGCGCGUUUCUCGCACCAGGAGGUCGUCUCUGGCGUGAUAUACCUCGUCUGCAGGAAAAUACCCUCGAUGGAGUAUGAAGGCAUCGCGGACAGCUUUAGUUUCAUCUUAGCGGCGUCCAUCUUCCAGCCGGCGGUGGGCGAUUUCGAGUUUCGGAUCAAACACGACACGGACGACGACAACAUCACCUUGGGCGGCCCGAUGGAUCCGGUCGGUCACGAGGGUGAGAUGGCAAUCGCGCCGAACAUGAGCAACGACUACCUGCUGAUCCUCGGUAUGUUGCUCGGCGUGUUCCUCCUCGGUGUGGUGGUGAUCAUCACGAUCAGGUGCCGGCACAACAGAUACAAGCACGCCGAGGAGGAGAAGCCGGAAAACACACCCGCCGUCGGCGUAAUGCCGCUUCCCAGACCUCCGGAUCAUCUAAUGCCUGCGACUCCGCACCUCAAGCCCUUCGGCAACGAUCACAAUAGCGUGACGGCCAGCACGCCUCUGCCAGUGUUACCGUCGACGUUGCCGCAAUGCAAGGUGAUACCGUUGAGUCCUCUGGAGAGCGGUUCAGAGGUCGACGUCUCCGCCAGGUAUCCUUACGGGGUGGCGGACGGCGACGAGUGGAGCAGCUUCGACACUUCCGAUCUACCUUGUCAGUCGGCCACAACUCAGAGGACCAAGAAGAACCCGUUGCUGAGGAGGGAUCAGUACUGGGUCUAGCAGGAGACGAACGCGUUGCGGCUCAUGCGAAGGAAGCCGUAGCGUCUCGCGAUGUGUUUCGUGCCAAACUGUAUCGAGACUAUCGUGGAUAUCACGGACUUAAUGUGCCUAAGGAAAGUGAAAUCUGCGACGGGAUUUACAAGAGUCGUUCGUCGAACCCCGGAAUCGUCGCAACGGACGCGUGAGAUCGACGGUGAACGACGUGAGAACGACAUGAAACUUCGAUGGUGCGGCAUGACCUCGGUGACUGUGUCGGCGUGUCGGUGCAUCGUCCGGUUGUAGUUUGGAGAAGAAUGACAAACGAAAAAUGAGAGAGAGAAAGAGAGAGAGAGAGAGAGAGAGAGAGAGAAAAGGAAAAACGAAGGAACUUCUAGACGGAGACCCUGCGGAUCGGACAGAGAACGAUCGGCGAUCGACGGACUCGCGAUCCGGAGGUAGUUCGCAGUGUCUCGUGUACUACUAGCCUAAAACGAUAUAAGCAGAAAUCUAGAGAACCUCCUUGAAUGUCACGACUAUCGCCGCUAUCACGAGCUCAAUGUGCCUAAGAGAUGUCUGACUCUGCCUGACAUUUUUCCACUAAUCGCAACGUCGAUUUUUCCUGUACGCCCCGCUCAACGUUCCUUCCCUACGGCAGAUCGAUAUACAUAUACCCGGCCGGCAGAUGAAAACGGCGAAUCACAAUUCUGUCCGCUGAAUGUCGGGACAGAUUCCUGCCGGUGAAAAUCACAGUCUCGAUUCUAAACCGGAAAAUCUGUCCGUCGGUUCACUGGCUCGUUUUAGAGUGCAGACCUUCAGAAGGAUCCGUAAUAAUAAAUUUCAGGUGAAAUCAAAACCGAGGCGGAACUUUCGCUCUGCCUUAAGCUACAUAGACGAAGGCCAGGAUCGAGUAAACGGGAACAAUGCGGGAACUUUGCGACUACGAUCGUAAAACGAUCCGAUAUCUACGGCGCGAUUGUACAUCCGCGCGCUCCUCUUGCUCGUUUCUUGCCAUCAAAGCGCAACCGAAUGCAUUUAUAUUAACACAACUGUACUCCAGUUUGGACAUAUCUUUUUAUACCAUUGUAUUGCCCGAGUUGAGCUUUGAUUUUUCUCGAACGGUCUCGCGUGUACGGUUCAUUCUAUCCGGUUCCACUCCAACUAUCUCAGUGUUAUCCUUGGCUCAUAUCGUGCGAUUAAACGCACAUCGGCAAUUCAUGUUCGUUCACUCAUUCGUUCGUUCGUUCGUUCGGUCGGUCGCUGGUACGGUCAAAUCGCGUUUAUCUUUGCGUGACACGAAACGCGUUGAGUUAUGGUUCUCGUUAAAUAAUGUACGACGGAUAAAAAAAGUCGUAUCGACUGUUUACUGCAUCGCUGGUAAGAGCGAGACUGUCGGUCGAUAGCGUUAAUUCCACACCGCGAAUCAUCGUUUCUCAGCGUUUUCUUCACGACGAAACGUCACAACGAUUAUCUUUCAUGGGAUUACGUAGUAACGCCUAUGCGAGACGCGCAAUUCAUCCGUUUCCCGCGUUAUUCGUCUCUGUAGCGAGCGAUAGACAGUUUGCUUAAGCGACACCAGAUAACACGACUGUUCGACGUAUCUGAAAUUGCGAAUUAUCGUUAACGGUCUAAGUCCGUAAGCCGUUUUUUUACACGAGGCCGUAGAACUUUCCUACUACGAGUCGUUGACGCGCGGCGAGUUCGUAAUUCAUAAGCGAUGAACGGGGUUAUGUGUGUGUGUGCACGGUUCCGGUAUUACGAGAGAAAUUUAUUGACGGGGGCGUGUUGACGAGUUCGUUGAUUCUUAAGAGAAUUUUACGUUACGUUACCCUUAUACGCGAACUCACUUCAACAAAUCCGCUUCCGGCCAAUGCUUAAGCAAGCACGAUAGACGCGAUAGACGUUAUAAAUUAUCGUUUAGCUCGCGAUUUGUAAUUUAUACGAGGAGAUCGGGUGAGCGUUAGAUUUACGUCGCGACGAGCAUCGUGUUGUUAAAUAUAAAAAUUUCACGUCAAUGACAAACGAAGUUGUAACAUUUGGGGUAUCGAAUGACACAAAUUAAUUAGAAGUCACUGAAUGACCACAACAGCUUUUGACGCGAGUCUACUUUAUAUAAUUUGCUAGAAUUGCUUCUGUUAAGAUCAGAGAAUAUUGCUGUUUUAAAAUUCUCGAAAUAAAAUUUCGUACACUUUGCAAAUCCUCGAGCGAACGUCUGGCCGAAAGUGGAUUAACGGCGACUUCCUUGAAAAGAAUCUUAGAAGCGUAUCUAAUAAAGCAGUCUAAUGUGAAUGUUGAUUAUAGCGAUUGUAAUGAUAUAUAAUAUAUAUAUAUAAUGCGAACACACACUCCUACACACGCGUAGAACGUACUACCGUUCCAUGGAUUGAUAGCAUACGCAUUGAUAGAUUCUAAUUAAAGACGUUUUAUCGAAACAGAGAGAGAGAGAGAGAGAGAGAGAAAAGGAGAGAAAGAGAAAAUGAGAAAAAGAGAGAUACCCGUUCGUUGAUUCAUGAAUAUGCUAAAGACGAACCGUUAGGCUUUUUUACAUCCAUCAAAAACGAACUGAUCCGAGUGCCAAACUUCUAUAAUCUAUGAUAUUGCAUAAUUAUCAUAGGAAUGUAUUUUCCCUGCCGACUGAAUGCAUUACUCUUCUAAUUCUAAUAAAUUGAAUGUGCGAUGUUAAGUAAAUACAGUUUAAUUUAUUAUUUAGCACACAUUUUUAUGUGGCUUACUGUUUAAUGUGACAUUA
rnacentral:misc_RNA from 1 species